UUCCGGUUGAUCCUGCCGGACCCGACUGCUAUCAGAAUAGGACUAAGCCAUGCGAGUCAACGUAGCAAUACGUGGCAUACGGCUCAGUAACACGUAGUCAACAUGCCCAGAGGACGUGGAUAACCUCGGGAGACUGAGGAUAAACCGCGAUGGGUCAUAAUAUCUGGAAUGAUUUAUGGUUUAAAUCUAUAUGGCCUCUGGAUUGGACUGCGGCCGAUCAGGCUGUUGGUGAGGUAAUGGCCCACCAAACCUGAAACCGGUACGGGCUCUGAGAGGAGAAGCCCGGAGGUGGGCACUGAGACAAGGGCCCAGGCCCUAUGGGGCGCAGCAGGCGCGAAAACUCUGCAAUAAGCGAAAGCUUGACAGGGUUAUUCUGAGUGAUUUCCGCUAAGGAAAUCUUUUGGCACCUCUAAAAAUGGUGCAGAAUAAGGGGUGGGCAAGCCUGGUGUCAGCCGCCGCGGUAAUACCAGCACCCCGAGUGGUCGGGACGAUUAUUGGGCCUAAAGCAUCCGUAGCCGGUUCUACAAGUCUUCCGUUAAAUCCACCUGCUUAACAGAUGGGCUGCGGAGGAUACUAUAGAGCUAGGAGGCGGGAGAGGCAAGCGGUACUUAGUGGGUAGGGGUAAAAUCCGUUGAUCCAUUGAAGACCACCAGUGGCGAAGGCGGCUUGCCAGAACGCACUCGACGGUGAGGGAUGAAAGCUGGGGGAGCAAACCGGAUUAGAUACCCGGGUAGUCCCAGCUGUAAACGAUGCAGACUCGGUGAUGAAUAGGCUUCGUGCCUAUUCAGUGCCGCAGGGAAGCCGUUAAGUCUGCCGCCUGGGGAGUACGGCCGCAAGACUGAAACUUAAAGGAAUUGGCGGGGGAGCACCACAAGGGGUGAAGCCUGCGGUUCAAUUGGAGUCAACGCCGGG
rnacentral:rRNA from 1 species